UACGUAGGGGGCGAGCGUUGUCCGGAUUUACUGGGCGUAAAACGCUUGUAGGCGGCCACGCCAAGUCGGACGUGAAAUCUCCCGGCUUAACUGGGAGGGUCGUUCGAUACUGGCGGGCUCGAGGCAGGUAGGGGGAAGCGGAAUUCCCGGUGUAGUGGUGGAAUGCGUAGAUAUCGGUGGGAACGCCAGUGGCGAAAGCGGCAGACUUGACCCUUCCUGACGCUGCAGCGCGAAAGCUAGGGGAGCAAACGGG
rnacentral:rRNA from 1 species